rnacentral:rRNA from 1 species
AAUGGUUAAGGAACUUGGCAAAUUGCCUCCGUAACUUCGGGAGAAGGAGGACCCCAGUAGCGUGAUGAGACUUGCUCUCUGAGCGUGAAGGGGUGGCACAAAAUUGAGGGAAGCGACUGUUUACCAAAAACACAGCAGCGUGCUAGCCGUAAGGCGCUGUAUACGCUGUGACUCCUGCCCGGUGCUGGAAGGUUACGGGGAUGGGUUAGUCCUUCGGGACGAAGCUCUGAACCUAAGCCCCAGUAAACGGCGGCCGUAACUAUAACGGUCCUAAGGUAGCGAAAUUCCUUGUCGGGUAAGUUCCGACCUGCACGAAUGGAGUAACGACUUCCCUACUGUCUCAACCAUAGACCCAGCGAAAUUGAAGUACGAGUAAAGAUGCUCGUUAGCUGCAGAAGGACGGAAAGACCCCGUGGACCUUUACUAUAACUUGAUGUUGUGUUUUGUCAUAUGUUGUGUAGGAUAGGUGGGAGACUUGGAAGCAUGGACGCUAGUCUGUGUGGAGUCAUCGUUGAAAUACCACCCUGCAUAUGGUGAGGCUCUAACCUAGACCCGUUAUCCGGGUUGGGGACAGCGUCAGGCGGGUAGUUUAACUGGGGCGGUUGCCUCCUAAAGAGUAACGGAGGCGCCCAAGGGUUCCCUCAGCCUGGUUGGCAAUCAGGCGUUGAGUGCAAUGGCAAAAGGGAGCUUGACUGCGAGACCUACAAGUCGAGCAGGAGCGAAAGCUGGGCAUAGUGAUCCGGCGGUUGCGUGUGGAAGCGCCGUCGCUCAACGGAUAAAAGGUACCCCGGGGAUAACAGGCUAAUCUUGCCCAAGCGUCCAUAGCGACGGCAAGGUUUGGCACCUCGAUGUCGGCUCAUCGCAUCCUGGGGCUGAAGCAGGUCCUAAGGGUUGGGCUGUUCGCCCAUUAAAGCGGUACGCGAGCUGGGUUCAGAACGUCGUGAGACAGUUCGGUCCCUAUCCUCUGCAGCCGGAGGUGAAUUGAGGAAAGCUGUCCCUAGUACGAGAGGACCGGGACGGACGCAGCUCUCGUGUGCCAGUUGUCCUGCCAAGGGCAUGGCUGGUUAGCGACCUGCGGAAAGGAUAACCGCUGAAAGCAUCUAAGCGGGAAGCCUCUUCCAAGAUGAAUUCACCCACAGGGUUAACCUGGUAAGGCCCGUGGUAGACCACCACGUUGAUAGGCCGGAAGUGUAAGCGUGGCAACACGUUCAGCUGACCGGUACUAAUCGGCCGAGGG